UGGGGAAUAUUGCACAAUGGGCGCAAGCCUGAUGCAGCCAUGCCGCGUGUGUGUAGAAGGCCUUCGGGUUGUAAAGCACUUUCAGCGGGGAGGAAGGCGUUAAGGUUAAUAACCUUGGCGAUUGACGUUACCCGCAGAAGAAGCACCGGCUAACUCCGUGCCAGCAGCCGCGGUAAUACGGAGGGUGCAAGCGUUAAUCGGAAUUACUGGGCGUAAAGCGCACGCAGGCGGUCUGUCAAGUCGGAUGUGAAAUCCCCGGGCUCAACCUGGGAACUGCAUUCGGAACUGGGAGGCUAGAGUCUUGUAGAGGGGGGUAGACUUCCAGGUUUAGCGGUGAAAUGCGUAGAGAUCUGGAGGAAUACCGGUGGCGAAGGCGGACCCCUGGACAAAGACUGACGCUCAGGUGCGGAAGCGUAGGGAGCAAACAGG
rnacentral:rRNA from 1 species